GGACUGCAGAGGUGUCCCACAAUAGUACGAAACGGCCGUCCAGUAC
rnacentral:hammerhead_ribozyme from 1 species